CCCAGAGACUCAAAGUAAAUCUUCUCUUUGGCAAAUCAGAAGGCUCUGCAUAAAUACUGCCAAUUGUUAAACAUUUACCUGCACAUACUGGGCUCAUCUUCAUUAUUGGUAAAAUGAGCUAGAUGCUAUUUUCCAUUAGCUCACACUCCAAUUCCAAUCGACCUGACCAUCAGAAAAGACAAAAAGGGAAAAUCCUGGCCAGUUCUCCCCUACCUGAUCAACCAGUAGCAUAAUCAGAUUUGCAAGACCUCAAGAAAAGAAACCUGAAAAUGCCACUGGAGGUGUGUGUUUUGCCAAAGAAAAAAGAAUCAAAAACAAAACCUGCAGGAUGAGGACAAACAAACAAAGAGCAGGGGCUCAGCCACGAACCUUGUGAUGGAUGAGGAAAAGAUAUCCUUUUUCUCCCCUUACAGUUUCUGGCAGCCAACAUGGGGUGGCUGUGACAUCCCACUAGUUCCAGAACCUGCAGAUGAGAUCCUGGGACAACCAAUAAAAAAACAACAAAAAGUUAA
rnacentral:sRNA from 1 species